rnacentral:lncRNA from 1 species
CAGGCAAAAAUCUCAACAUGGAGAGGAGGAAGGUAGGCCCAAAAUCCCACCCCUAGAGGAGGAGCUACUGGCAUUGAUAGCUGGGCGGAGAGCCAGUUUUCAUUAUGGAUAAGAGCCCUGUUCUUAUGGGCUUCUCGGUAACCGCUGUCUCCAGUCUGCAGAACGCUGGUGUUAGAAACGCGUCGACAACUACCGCACAUCGUGAGUGAACAAAGCGGGGGGCCUAGAGGAGGUGCAGAAAGAACCACUGGCCCCUUCUUUUCUCUUGGCCUCCCCUCUCCGCGUCCAAACCCCUUCCCGAGAAUCCCUCACACACUGAGAGCUGCUCGGUGGCUGCAGGAGUUACCCUGUACAGACAGACAUUAGGGUUGGAUGCUCAGGCUUCAGAAAGCAGCUCCUCCUUCCGUGAUAGCUGUGUUGAAACGGCUCAACUUCCUCGCUCUGCCACUGACGUAUUGCUGCCAGGUUGCGGAGUUUCCCAGCAUUCUCUGUUGCUCUUAAGGUGUAAUCUUCACCAAUCAACAGGGAAGUCUCUCUUUGCAGCAGGUCUGUAGAACGGAUGGCAGUGCAGGACGGAACAUUGAGAAGCAUGCCUCUCGGUUGAAGGUAACUCAUUUAGAUCAAGAUUUAAGAAAUGCAAGCAACAGAUGUUCACAUUAUCAGGUGUUACAAUAUGUCCAAAGUCUUCUAAUUUCGACAACUUUCUUCAUUGUCACUAUUAAUAUGCACACGGUGGUCUGCAUCUGCUGCGGUAAAGAAGCCUCCCCUUCAGCCCUUGUCAGAGGGAUUCCCACUGCCUUCACCUCCUCUGCCUGUGAGGGAACCUCUCUUUCCCUCUCCAUAAGAAAUCAGAAAAAAGCAACUUAUUUCUAUGGGACAUUUAUACAUGUGUGCUGAGGAACAAAGGGACUUUACAGCUUGCACUUUACCAGUGUGCCUCUUUUCAAGCUGGAAGCUAUACCAUUAAUUACUUUACUCUCUACACAGUCAAUUAUGUAUCAGAUAUCCAGCAGUCUUUCUAAAUCCAUUACUUCCAAAAGACCUUUAUGUAUACAAUUUAUAUUUAUACUUCCUUCUCAAAAUGUAUUUGGGUGAUUAGCAACCUAAAUCUUGCUGUAUGGUGUUUUGACUUGUAAAUU